rnacentral:rRNA from 1 species
UACAUAGGCAGCGAGCGUUGUUCGGAGUUACUGGGCGUAAAGGGUGUGUAGGCGGUUUUCUAAGUUUGGUGUGAAAUCUCCCGGCUUAACCGGGAGGGUGCGCCGAAAACUGGGAGACUAGAGUGCGGGAUGGGAGAGUAGAAUUCCUGGUGUAGCGGUGAAAUGCGUAGAUAUCAGGAGGAAUACCGGUGGUGCAGACGGCUCUCUGGACCGCAACUGACGCUGAGACACGAAAGCGUGGGUAGCAAACAGG